GCUGGGAAGACAAGAGUCAACAAGACAGACAUGUGUCAGCCCCCAUGGAUAUAACACAGUAAACCAAUAGAACAAUUUCAAAUCAUUGCACAUCCUCUCCAGAUGAAACAACCAAUAUUUGCCUUUGGGGAGGUGCCACUUCAGUCAAAAUGGCCAACAGGCUCUGCGAGAAACCAAGGUCUACGUCAACCAAAUGUGGAGAAAACUUGGAGCUCUGCUGUAGGUGUGGGAGUUAACGAUGAAUGCUUCAGCACUUUCCUAGCCAUGCAUAAACAUCGACAUGGAAAACAGCAAGGAGUGCUCUGUUUAUCACAGCUGCAGUCAAGCCAAGGCAACUGU